rnacentral:other from 1 species
UACUCUCUGCUUUGUGCGCGAUCCGAUCAGACGAUCUCUGAGCCGAUAAUUUUAUAAUCGCGGAAUAGAACUAGGCCUGAUGUUGAGCACGUUUUCAAGUAGAAGAUAGCCUGAUUCAGGCAGUGAAAUUCCACACUUGAGCUUCUGGUUCAAGAUUCCGAUCGGUCACGGCAUAGCGGAGAGUAC